CCCUUAGAUGUUCUGGGCCGCACGCGCGCUACACUGAUGCAUGCAACGAGUUCUAUCCUUGGCCGGAAGGCCUGGGUAAUCUGUGAACGUGCAUCGUGAUAGGGAUAGAUUAUUGCAAUUAUUAAUCUUGAACGAGGAAUUCCUAGUAAACGCAAGUCAUCAGCUUGCAUUGAUUACGUCCCUGCCCUUUGUACACACCGCCCGUCGCUUGUACCGAUUGGAUGGUCCGGUGAAAUCUUCGGAUAGCUGGUAGUUGGCUUGCCAUCUACUGCUAAAAGUUGCUUAAACCUUAUCAUCUAGAGGAACAAGAAGUCGUAACA
rnacentral:rRNA from 1 species